UCCUUGACCGGACCUAAGCCAAGGUGAAUCC
rnacentral:piRNA from 1 species